UACCAGCACCCCGAGUGGUCGGGACGUUUAUUGGGCCUAAAGCAUCCGUAGCCGGUUCUACAAGUCUUCCGUUAAAUCCACCUGCUUAACAGAUGGGCUGCGGAAGAUACUAUGGAGCUAGGAGGCGGGAGAGGCAAGCGGUACUCGAUGGGUAGGGGUAAAAUCCGUUGAUCCAUUGAAGACCACCAGUGGCGAAGGCGGCCUGCCAGAACGCGCUCGACGGUGAGGGAUGAAAGCUGGGGGAGCAGACCGG
rnacentral:rRNA from 1 species